UACGGAGGAUCCAAGCGUUAUCCGGAAUCAUUGGGUUUAAAGGGUCCGUAGGCGGUCUAAUAAGUCAGUGGUGAAAGCCCAUCGCUUAACGAUGGAACGGCCAUUGAUACUGUUAGACUUGAAUUACUGGGAAGUAACUAGAAUAUGUAGUGUAGCGGUGAAAUGCUUAGAUAUUACAUGGAAUACCAAUUGCGAAGGCAGGUUACUGCCAGUGGAUUGACGCUGAUGGACGAAAGCGUGGGGAGCGAACAGG
rnacentral:rRNA from 1 species